AGAGUUUGAUUAUGGCUCAGGAUGAACGCUGGCGGCGUGCCUAACACAUGCAAGUCGAGCGGGGAUAUUGGAAGAUAUUCGUAUCGGAAGAUAUUCUAGCGGCGGACGGGUGAGUAACACGUGAGCAACCUACCUUUUUGCAGGGGAAUAACAGUGGGAAACCACUGCUAAUACCGCAUAACAUCACGAGGGGACAUCCUCUUGUGAUCAAAGGAGAAAUCCGGCAGAAGAUGGGCUCGCGUCCGAUUAGUUAGUUGGCGGGUAACGGCCCACCAAGACCGCGAUCGGUAGCCGAACUGAGAGGUUGAUCGGCCACAUUGGGACUGAGACACGGCCCAGACUCCUACGGGAGGCAGCAGUGGGGAAUAUUGGGCAAAUGGGGGAAACCCUGACCCAGCAACGCCGCGUGAAGGACGAAGGCCUUCGGGUUGUAAACUUCUUUGAUCAGGGACGAAACAAAUGACGGUACCUGAAGAACAAGCCACGGCUAACUACGUGCCAGCCGCCGC
rnacentral:rRNA from 1 species